UAUUCUGCAACAAAGAGCUAUGUGUCUGCGUUUGAGUCUGGAGCCUCAGCGUGACAGACCGAACGGCUGUCUGGGGAUGGACUGCUGUAAAGAGCAGUGCACUUCAGGUCAUUUUUAGAGCUAGAGAGGAGUGUUGGGAAGAGCAGAGAUGUUUUUGAUAUGUAACAGUGGAGCCAUACACACCGAUCAAUACGCCGACCUUUCUCAGACUGAUUGCAUGAUGUUCUGCUUUGCCCCCAGCACCAGCACCCACCAGAGGUCCAUCAACCAUCAAGCAUUGUUAUUCUCUGUUUCAGCAAGCGAGAAGCCGUGGGUCGCCUUCCAUGGAGUCCGCCAUGUUUCUACAGUAGCCCAGAAAGGACAAACCAAACACUGUGUCUUUUGCACGUUUCACAGCCACGGUAGUUUCUCCUUCACACUUAGAAGGAGAGGUUAAAGAGAGGGAGCUGUGAUCUGCAACUACACCGCUAGAUGCUACUAAAUCCUAAACACUGAGCCUUUACUGACAUUCCACCUCCAUCUGUUGCCAAUAAGGACUUAUUGGUAGAAAUCUUUCAUAGAUCUCAAUUAAUUGCCAGCAAAUUUCCUUUUGUAUCCUAUGUCUCCAUGAACUGAUGCUGGUUUCAAGAGUAUGGUCUUGUUUUUUGUUGACCACAACCUACAGGUGAUAAAACUGAUGGAGAGGCUGACACUGCAGAGUUCUGUAUAUGAACACAAACGCAUACCAAACACUAUCCCACUAACAUGUCCCUCUUCAAGGAAUCUCCUCCCAUUGAGGGCAGGGGUUUUGCCACAUGAACUCAUUGCAAUAGGCUGUGUUAAAGAAGAGGAAGUUUGAAAGGUUGACCCUGCACACUCUCAGCUCUUCCUCGCACACUUCACAUGACAGGCUGCACAUGUUAGUCAUUCAUGCACAGUCCACUUGAGAUAUACCAACAGCAAGAUUCACACACACACACACACACACACACACACACACCGCACACGCACGCACGCACACACACACACACACACACACACACACACACACACACACACACACACACACACACACACACACACACACACACACAUAUUCCUGAUGUGUAAACCACUGUAAAAUACAUCUAAUAUAGGCAGAAUAAAUCUCCAUAAAGUGUUUGAUUAGAAUCUGUUGUGCAUGUCAGUGUUGUCUACUGCUGGUAGCAUCUGCAGAAACCAUAUCAACAACUGGGCAAAGACAGAGAGGCAAGCCUGAGCUGACACUAAUCCAGUAAUUGCCAUGUGGCCAUGCCGCUUAUCAAAAUAAUUGACAGUAUUUUCUACAGUGAGAUAGGAGUGUUUAUCCCGGUGCUACCCAGACUAUUCUGUUCAGAACAGUUCUAGAUCAGUAAUGAGAUGGCUGGCUUUGUUGUGGUUUGUUCCUCCCUGCAAUAUGGUUCUAGGUAAACCCAUCUUUACUCUAUUUCAUCUAAAUAGUUUAACAUAUUGUAGGCUUAUUUCAUAUUGGCCCAAAGGGAAUCAAAAAAAGAUAAACUUGAAGGUGUUUACCAUAUCAUAACAAGGUCAUGAUCUUUUAAGUUUGCUUUCGCUACUCCUGAAAGGGAGAUGGAAUACACAGCUGACACUACUUGUUCUCAAAUAAGUUGAAUAUUCGUUUGUUAGAAAUACACUACAAUAA
rnacentral:lncRNA from 1 species